rnacentral:rRNA from 1 species
GAUGAACGCUGGCGGCGUGCUUAACACAUGCAAGUCGAACGGAAAGGCCCAAGCUUGCUUGGGUACUCGAGUGGCGAACGGGUGAGUAACACGUGGGUGAUCUGCCCUGCACUUCGGGAUAAGCCUGGGAAACUGGGUCUAAUACCGGAUAGGACCACAUUUUGGAUGGUGUGGUGGAAAGUUUUUCGGUGUGGGAUGAGCUCGCGGCCUAUCAGCUUGUUGGUGGGGUAAUGGCCUACCAAGGCGUCGACGGGUAGCCGGCCUGAGAGGGUGUACGGCCACAUUGGGACUGAGAUACGGCCCAGACUCCUACGGGAGGCAGCAGUGGGGAAUAUUGCACAAUGGGCGCAAGCCUGAUGCAGCGACGCCGCGUGGGGGAUGACGGUCUUCGGGUUGUAAACGCCUUUCGCUAGGGACGAAGCGUUAUGUGACGGUACCUGGAGAAGAAGCACCGGCUAACUACGUG